ACAACGCGAAGCGGCGCCCAACUCGCUUCCGUUCCCAUCUCUUCCCCCCUCGGCAGCCGCCCUCUCGCCUCCUCCCUCCGCCGCCGCCGCCGCCGCCGCCGCCGCCUCGUCCGCAGCCGAAACGAGCAGCCGGCUGCCCGGCCGGAUCCCACGCGGCCCGCUCGAUUCGAGGUCAGAUCCAAGCACCUGCCCUCCCAGGUCCGAAUCGCGCCGAAUUUUUUUCUAGGUUUUGGUACGGAUCUAGGGUUUGGCUUGCCGUGGGAAAUUUUCGGGGGGGAAUUCCGUCGAAUUUCUCUCGGCUUCCACGGUUUGGUUGGAUUCCCGCUCAUGGCCGCUGGGCGCCACGGAGGAUACAGGGACUACGAGGCAAGGGAGCGGGAGCUCGACGCGGAGGCUUCCAGGAGGAGCAAGGAGCAGCAGCACCACCACCACCACCACCUGAGCGGCCGCCACCAUCGCGGCGACGCCGAGCCCCGCCGCGACGCGGACCGGCGCCGUGACGGUGGUCGCAGCAGGGGCGGCAGGGAGUUGUCCAACGGGUACAGCCACCGCCGCUCUCCGCCUCCCAGGAGCCGACUCUCAGGGAGGCUCGGGGAUCGCGAGCCUGGCGAAGUGCUGAGCGGUAGUGGGUCAGAUGACUCUGGCGGGAGGACCCAUAGAGCGAGGGAGAAUGGUGUAUCAACUUCUAGUAGGGAUGGUGAAUUGGUGGCGGCUGCAGCAGCCCAGUCGCCGAGCAAGAAAAGGAAAUUCUCACCGAUUAUAUGGGAUAGGGAUAGCCCAAAGCCAAUGCAUUCUGAUGUAGCAAAGGGCAAGAAGGCACUGGAAUCUGUGCCAACCGAGCUUCCUCCCCCACCUCCUCUACCUCCGCAGGAUCACACCCCUGAGAGGUUGGCUGUGGAGAGGUCGCCGAUGGAUAUGGAGCUUGCCGUUGCUGCUGAGAGCACUGAGCAGUUUCAGGAGCAUGAGCAGAGUAGAGUGAUGGAGGAAGAAGAGGAGUACUCAACAAUGAGGAACAUAUCAACUUCAAGGUGGGCUGGAGCUAAUGAUGAUGAGGAAGAAGGAGCACCACAGAGUAAGAAGAAAAGUUCAUCACCUGCGGGUUCUGCUGAGUUGGGGCAGAGGAAGAAGGCUACUAGCCCAGAACUUGGUGAGGUUGUGGCCAGUGAUGUCUCUGGAGGGAGGACAAUGUCAAGGUCGUCUGAUUCUGGGAGAUUGGGUGCUGAUGAGAAUGAUGAUUUGGAAGUAGAUAAAGAUGACUAUAUGGAUGUUGACAGAGAGGAUGCUGGUAAUAGUGAUGUUGCAAAUCAGCAGUCAGAUACGGAUUCAGAGUAUGAAUUGCGUCGAUCCGAAACACCAGAGCCUGUGAAGCCACCACACAGAUGUAUAAAUAUGCUUCAAGGUUGCAGAAGUGUUGAUGAGUUUGAGAGGCUUAACAAGAUCAACGAGGGCACUUAUGGUGUUGUAUACAGGGCAAGGGAUAAGAAGACUGGCGAGAUUGUUGCGCUGAAGAAGGUCAAAAUGGAGAAAGAGAGAGAAGGUUUCCCAUUAACAUCACUUAGGGAGAUAAACAUCCUUUUGUCUUUUCAUCAUCCUUCAAUUGUUGAUGUUAAGGAAGUAGUAGUUGGUAGUAGCCUAGAUAGUAUUUUUAUGGUAAUGGAGUACAUGGAACAUGAUCUUAAGGGUGUCAUGGAGGCAAUGAAGCAGCCAUAUAGCCAAAGUGAGGUCAAAUGCCUUAUGCUCCAGCUGUUGGAGGGUGUGAAGUAUCUUCAUGACAAUUGGGUGCUUCAUAGGGAUCUGAAGACCUCGAAUCUUUUGCUGAAUAACCGCGGUGAGUUGAAAAUAUGUGAUUUUGGGCUAUCUCGUCAAUAUGGAAGUCCAUUAAAACCUUACACUCAAUUGGUUGUGACUUUGUGGUACAGGGCACCAGAACUAUUAUUAGGAACAAAGGAAUAUUCUACUGCUAUUGAUAUGUGGUCUGUGGGUUGCAUAAUGGCAGAGCUUUUAGCCAAAGAACCAUUGUUUAAUGGGAAAACUGAGUUUGAACAGCUAGAUAAGAUAUUUAGAACACUUGGCACACCUAAUGAGAAGAUAUGGCCUGGCUAUGCCAAAUUGCCGGGUGUCAAAGUAAAUUUCGUCAAACAACCGUACAACCGGUUAAGAGAUAAGUUCCCUGCUGCAUCAUUUUCUGGUCGUCCAAUUCUGUCUGAAGCUGGUUUUGAUCUAUUAAAUAAUCUUCUAACAUAUGAUCCUGAGAAGCGUUUAUCAGCAGAUGCUGCUUUGCAGCAUGAGUGGUUCCGUGAAGUUCCUCUACCUAAAUCGAAGGAUUUCAUGCCAACAUUCCCUGCUCUAAAUGAAUUGGACAGGCGUACCAAACGUUAUUUGAAGAGUCCUGACCCUCUAGAAGAGCAACGGCUGAAAGAACUACAAGGGAACAUUGGCAAUCGUGGUCUUUUUGGCUGAAGCUAUAGCAACUUUUUUGGGCACUGUUCAUCCUGACUGUCGUGCUUCAUUCUGAAUCUUUGAGGUCAGAUACACUCUGAGGCUUGGUGCUGUUUUAAGUUGAUAGGUUUGUCCCUGGCCCAUCAUAGAAACUUUGUUGCAGGAUUAACUCCAACCAGAUUGAUCAUAAAAGCAAAUCUAAUCUGCCUGCAUCGUAAGGUGUGGCGUGUUGGCUUUUAUUGGUUAACAGCAGUUUCACCUUUGGAACUGUAUGUAAAAUAUUUCCAGAUUGGUACGUUGUAAACAAAGUUCAGUGCGUUGGAUUUAAAAUAAGAAUAUUCUAUCAUUUUGUUUUUGUAUAUUUUCCUGGUGCCUUUGCUUUUGAUCUUUCCGUUUUGUUUGCAAGACACAAGAGAAGCGAAGGGGAAGGAUGCCUUUUGCUUUUCACCAAGAAAUCAAUGGACAGUAAUACAACUUGAAAGCGUAAGCUGUGGCUGCUUCAAGAUAGGAAGCCUGAUGGUCCUCAGCUUGUUGUACCUAAGUGACUAAAUUUUGUGGAAGGUCUUCAGGAGAGUUCACCAGUUACUGUAGUGAACCAUAGUGGUCACUGGUCAGUCUACUACCCUAUCUUGUCUAUUAAUGCACAUAUCAUAAUUCGGAUUGAUUUGGGGGCCACUCAUCCAUUUAUUGCGGAGGUUAUGCUUUCAUCAAACAGAAGUUGUCAUUCUCUUCAUGAAAAACAUUCUGUUUUCCCUACAACCUUGCCUUGGCAUUUGAUGCAGACAUAGUGUACAUGAACAUGUAAUUGGCAGUGCGAAAUUUGAUUUAUGAGAAUAGUGGAGCAGAUAACUCAGAACUUUGAUCAUGCCGUAUUUACUUUACCUACUUUGAUUAGCUCUAGAUGGAGCCGCAGAACUUGAAAUGCAUAACUCUAUUAUUGUGUUUAUCCUCGUUUUCUGGGGAUAUGGUUUCAACUUCAUUAGUUUUAAGCAGCUUGUGCUGCAAUAGGGAGGGGUGCUCUUCUGCUCAAUGCACGUGGAUUUACCGCGGGGGGAUGUUGCGGUCAUACCAUGAUAGAGUUAUCACAUGCUUACAAGUUGUUGCUAAAACGACAAGGCCGUAAGUAUUCAAUCUAUGUUGCUAGCUCAAGACGCUGUUAUGGAUACCAUCGUUGAUCGUUAGGUGUAGUUUCGCCUGGUUUGGUGCACAUUAGCCUUAUAUCAGGCCUUAUGCAAAACCACUGUAACUUAUACUAAUGUGCUAGCCUUAUGCAUUAAGUCAUGCUGAUGUUUGCAUCACUGUUUCCACUCGAUUUCUUUUGGUAAUCGUGCAACAGUUCUCUCGCACGUGUCCAUCUUGCCGAUCACUUGAGUUUUUUGGAUUU